UACAGAGGUCUCGAGCGUUGUUCGGAUUCAUUGGGCGUAAAGGGCGCGUAGGCGGCGGGGUAAGUCUGGUGUGAAAUCUCGGAGCUCAACUCCGAAAUUGCACUGGAUACUGCUCUGCUAGAGGGCUGGAGAGGAGAUCGGAAUUCACGGUGUAGCAGUGAAAUGCGUAGAUAUCGUAAGGAAGACCAGUGGCGAAGGCGGGUCUCUGGACAGUUCCUGACGCUGAGGCACGAAGGUCAGGGGAGCAAACGGG
rnacentral:rRNA from 1 species